CGUGGGAUGCGAGCGUUAUUCGGAUUUACUGGGCGUAAAGAGUUCGUAGGCGUUUGGGUACACCUUGUUUCAAAGCCCGGGGCUUAACUCCGGAAAGGGAUAGGAUAUGGCCUGAAUUGAGUGUGCUAGGGAUACUGGAACUGAUAGUGUAGCAGUGAAAUGCGUUGAUAUUAUCAGGAACACCGAGAGCGAAGGCAGGUAUCUGGGGCACAACUGACGCUGAGUGAACGAAAGCUAGGGGAGCGAAAGGGAUUAGAGACCCCUGUAGUCCUAGCCGUAAACUAUGUCCGCUUGAUUUUCCGAGUCUUGUACUUGGGGGGUCGGAGCUAACGCGUGAAGCGGACCGCCGUGGGGAGUACGACCGCAAGGUUA
rnacentral:rRNA from 1 species